GCUAACUACGUGCCAGCAGCCGCGGUAACACGUAGGAGGCAAACGUUAUCCGGAUUUACUGGGCGUAAAGCGCGUGUAGGUGGUUUUGUAAGUAGGGCGUGAAAGCUCCUGGCUCAACUGGGAGAGGCCGUUCUAAACUACAGAACUAGAGGAUGGUAGAGGGAGGUGGAAUUCCAGGUGUAGCGGUGGAAUGCGCAGAUAUCUGGAGGAACACCAGUGGCGAAAGCGGCCUCCUGGACCAUUCCUGACACUCAGACGCGAAAGCUAGGGUAGCAAACGGGAUUAGAUACCCUUGUAGUC
rnacentral:rRNA from 1 species